CCCCAAUGAUCUUAUCCGGUGCGGGAAGCCUCUGUAUCUCACUCCCGACGCCAUAUGAGCCGACACACAGAACGUCCCCUCGAAAGAGAGAUGAACGCCGAAGCCACAUCUUAUGUGCAAGGGAGCCAACCAUGAGAAUCACAAUUGGGGGACAAUUUCUCUCAAGGAUACGGGGAACAAAGGUCGGCAAGCGUCUUCGACCAGAUAGGGUAGGACCCUAGCAAUAGGGUCCGUCCGAUGAGAAGAUCGGUUCGUCCAGAUCAGGAACAAGAACAUGCUCCUUUUCCUCCUCCUAGAAAUAGGAGGGACAGGAGGAACCUAGUUGAUUGGGGAAGUCGAGGAGAAGCACUUCCACUUCCCAAGAACAUUCAAGAUGAUGAAGGGUCAAAUGAGCCCUGUCGAUCUUAUGAGAUUAACGAUGAUGAUGAUAACCUCUCAUUCUCAAGAGAGAUCCGAAGCUUCCCAAUGCCAGCAACUUUCAUGCCCCUUAAGAUCCCCAAGUAUGAAGGAAAGGGAGACCCGGAGAAGCACCUCACCAAGUACAUGAUACAGAUGAGCCUAAGGGAAGCCUCGCCCGCUUUGAAAUGCAGAGCCUUCCAUGUAACACUAGGCGGGGCCGCCGAAGUAUGGUACAGCAGGCUUCCUCCCCUAAGCAUCAGAAGUUGGUCAGAUUUGAAGAAAGCAUUUUUGAACCAGUACCUCUCACGCAGGGAAGGAAAGGCAUCAGUGCAACGCCUGCAAGAUAUGAGGCAGGCCCCUGGGGAGACGCUGAAAAGCUAUCUCGCUAGGUUUACAGACGAAAUCACCUACUGUGAACAAGUCACUGACAGAGAAGCCCUUUCAG
rnacentral:lncRNA from 1 species